rnacentral:rRNA from 1 species
GAUGAACGCUAGCGGCAGGCCUAACACAUGCAAGUCGAGGGGGAGGUUACUUUCGGGUAACUGAGACCGGCGUACGGGUGCGUAACGCGUAUACAAUCUGCCUUUCACUGGGGGAUAGCCCGAAGAAAUUUGGAUUAAUACCCCAUAGUAUAGUAAUACGGCAUCGUGAUGCUAUUAAAGCUUAGGUGGUGAAAGAUGAGUAUGCGUUCUAUUAGCUAGUUGGAGAGGUAACGGCUCCCCAAGGCGAUGAUAGAUAGGGGUUCUGAGAGGGAUGCCCCCCACACUGGUACUGAGAUACGGACCAGACUCCUACGGGAGGCAGCAGUGAGGAAUAUUGGACAAUGGUCGGAAGACUGAUCCAGCCAUGCCGCGUGCAGGAUGAAGGUCUUAUGGAUUGUAAACUGCUUUUGUAAGGGAAGAAUAAGGGCUACGCGUAGUUUGAUGACGGUACCUUACGAAUAAGCAUCGGCUAACUCCGUG